rnacentral:rRNA from 1 species
UGGGGAAUUUUGGACAAUGGGGGCAACCCUGAUCCAGCAAUGCCGCGUGAGUGAAGAAGGCCUUCGGGUUGUAAAGCUCUUUUGUCAGGGAAGAAACGGUAGUAGCGAAUAACUAUUACUAAUGACGGUACCUGAAGAAUAAGCACCGGCUAACUACGUGCCAGCAGCCGCGGUAAUACGUAGGGUGCAAGCGUUAAUCGGAAUUACUGGGCGUAAAGCGUGCGCAGGCGGUUGUGUAAGUCAGAUGUGAAAUCCCCGGGCUCAACCUGGGAAUUGCAUUUGAGACUGCACGGCUAGAGUGUGUCAGAGGGGGGUAGAAUUCCACGUGUAGCAGUGAAAUGCGUAGAUAUGUGGAGGAAUACCGAUGGCGAAGGCAGCCCCCUGGGCUAACACUGACGCUCAUGCACGAAAGCGUGGGGAGCAAACAGGAUUAGAUACCCCUGUAGUCCCUGAGCGGGCUGGCAAGGCGCAU